rnacentral:rRNA from 1 species
UACGUAGGGGGCAAGCGUUGUCCGGAUUUAUUGGGCGUAAAGAGCGUGUAGGCGGCCAGACAGGUCCGUUGUGAAAACUCGAGGCUCAACCUCGAGACGCCGAUGGAAACCGUCUGGCUAGAGUCCGGAAGAGGAGAGUGGAAUUCCUGGUGUAGCGGUGAAAUGCGCAGAUAUCAGGAGGAACACCGGUGGCGAAGGCGGCAGCCUGGACCAAUUCUGACGCUGAGGAGCGAAAGCCAGGGGAGCAAACGGG